UAAUGAUAAUAGCAUACUUACUGAAAGGUAGGGGCGCAAAGCCAUGAGUCUAAAGAAAAUUCCAAUUUCCAUGAUUGUCAGGCUGCCAAA
rnacentral:ncRNA from 1 species